AGCAGUAGCCACGGUAAUACGAGGGGAGCUAGCGUUGUUCGGAAUUACUGGGCGUAAAGCGCGCGUAGGCGGCUUUUUAAGUCAGAGGUGAAAGCCCGGGGCUCAACCCCGGAAUUGCCUUUGAAACUGGAAAGCUAGAAUCUUGGAGAGGUCAGUGGGAUUCCGAGUGUAGAGGUGAAAUUCGUAGAUAUUCGGAAGAACACCAGUGGCGAAGGCGACUGACUGGACAAGUAUUGACGCUGAGGUGCGAAAGCGUGGGGAGCAAACAGGAUUAGAUACCCCUGUAGUCCCUGUCUCUUAUAC
rnacentral:rRNA from 1 species